rnacentral:lncRNA from 1 species
CCCAAGGCUGUGGGUAUGAGGCCGGGGCCCUGCACCGGAAGGGAGGGCGGAAGCCACGGGACGUGGAGCAGAUGGUGAGGAUAGUGGGGAGGUAGCAGCAGAGGAUGACCCGAGGCAAAAGUGCAAGUGAAGAAAAGUCGCCUUGCCGGGCAGAGGUACGGGACCAAGGCGCCUCCUCUGGGCUGAGGAGUUAGAGGGAAGAAAAUGGCGCCCUGUCAUGAGGGCGCGAGGUCCGAGUUGAGGGGAGAAGACUGAGGGACACAGAAGUGGCCGAAGUGAGGGCGCUGAGGUCAGCCUGAGCUGAGAGGGCCGGCAGAUCACGCCGCAGCCGAAGUGAACGAACUCGAGUGAGGAAAUUACUCCAGGAUUUGAAUCAUCACAAGAGAUUCACCAGAGGAUUUUAUACACUUGGGCUGUGGCAGCAGACUAAUUACAUCACAGCACUAGGCUAAAGAAGAAAAAUCACAUGAUCAUAUCAAUAGAUGCAGAAAAAGCAUCUGACAAAAACCAGCUCUCAUUCAUGAUCAGAACUCUCAGCAAACUAGUAAUAGAGGGGAACUUACUCAACUUGAUAAAGAACAUAUGCAAAAAUCUUUCAGCUAACAUCGUACUUAAUGGUAAGAAAUUGAAGCUUUCCCACUAAGAUCAGGAGCAAGGCAAGGACGUCUCCUUUGACCAACCCUUUUCAACAUCAUAUUUAUUGGAAGUCCUAGCUAAUGCAAUAAGACAAGAAAAAGAAGUAAAAAGUAUACAGAUUGGGAAGAAGAAAAUAGAACUGCCUUUGUUUGCAGAUGACAUGAUUAUCUAUGUAGAAAAUCUGAAAGAAUUGACCAAAAAAACCCUCCUGGAGCUAAUAAGCAAUGAUAACAAGGUGGCAAAAAUAGGUUGAUAUACAAAAGUUAAUUGCUUUCCUAUAUGCCAGCAACAAACAAAUGAGAUUUGAAAUUAAAACCAAAAUCCCAUUUACAAUAAUACCCCCAACUUAAAUACUUAGGCAUAAAACUAACAAAAAUAUGUAAGACCUUUAUAAGGGAAGUUAUAAAACUCUGAUGAACAUAUAAAAAGCUAAAUAAAGGAGAGAGAUUCCAUGUUUAUGGAUAGGAAGACUCAAUAUUACCAAGACAUCACUUCUUCCCAACUUGAUGUAUAGAUCCAAGGCAGACCAAACCAAAAUCCCAGAAAAUAAUUUCCUGGAUAUUAACAGAAUCUUUUUUUUUUUUUUUUUUUUUCCUGAAACGGAGUCUCACUGUG